rnacentral:rRNA from 1 species
CAUGUGGGGCAAGCGUUGUUCGGAAUUACUGGGCAUAAAGGGUGCGUAGGUGGCUUGUUAAGUCAGGGGUCGAAAGUUUUCGGCCCAACCGGAAAAUGGCCUUUGAUACUGGCGAGCUCGAGUGCGUGAGGGGUAACCGGAACGAGCAGUGUAGCGGUGAAAUGCGUAGAUAUUGCUCGGAAGGCCAACGGCGAAGGCAGGUUACUGGUACGCAACUGACACUGAGGCACGAAAGCGUGGGGAGCAAACAGGAUUAGAUACCCUGGUAGUCCACGCCGUAAACGAUGAGCACUAGGUAGGUGCCGAGCUAUUCGGUGCCUGCCGCAGGUAAUUUGGUAAGUGCUCCGCCUGGGGAGUAUGGUCGCAAGGCUG